rnacentral:snoRNA from 1 species
CCGGAGAUGAUGACACACCUGAGCUGACACCUGUGAUGGUUGUGGUGUUCGUACUGUCUGAUCCUG